rnacentral:tRNA from 1 species
GGGCCCGUCGUUCAACGGAUAGGACAUACCCCCUCUAAGGGUACAAUGUUGGUUCGAUUCCAGCCGGGCCUACCA